rnacentral:rRNA from 1 species
GACGAACGCUGGCGGCGUGCUUAACACAUGCAAGUCGAACGAUGAAGAAAAGAAUCGAAGCUUCGGCAGAAAUUCAUUUCGGAUUAGUGGCAGACGGGUGAGUAACGCGUGAGCAACCUACCUCUUACAAAGGGAUAGCCUCGGGAAACCGGGAUUAAUACCAUAUAACAUUGUGACGAAGCAUUUCGAUGCAAUCAAAGCUACGGCGGUAAGAGAUGGGCUCGCGUCCCAUUAACCGGAUGGUGAGGUAACGGCUCACCAUAGUGACGAUGGGUAACCGGCCUGAGAGGGUGAACGGUCACACUGGAACUGAGACACGGUCCAGACUCCUACGGGAGGCAGCAGUGGGGAAUAUUGCACAAUGGAGGGAACUCUGAUGCAGCGAUGCCGCGUGAGUGAUGAAGGAAUUCGUUUCGUAAAACUCUGUUCUAUGGGAAGAAAAGGACUGUACCAUAGGAGAAAGCUCCGGCUAAAUACGUG